ACAGUCCUACUAACAAAACUGUUCUAAUUAAUCUCUAACAGUCCCUGACACAUAAUUAACAGUUUCAUAGCUAACUAUCGAAUCAACUCAACUAACAAUCAUAUUAUCAUUAACCAACUAACUACUUUUCACUAACUUACUAACUUAACUAACAUUUCAAACUAACACUUUAAUUCCCUAAACACUAACUGAUUCAACUUCAAAACCAACAUUCAUUAACACUUAAAUAACUAUUAACUAAUCAUCUCUAAUAUCACUAACAACUCUAACACUAGCCCAUUCAUGACAGUUUAACCCGCUCACUGAAAUUUCCUAAUCCAAUUCACUAACAAUCCAAUACCAAAUAU
rnacentral:lncRNA from 1 species